GCAGAAGGAAAUAGACCUGGCACUUGGAAAGCCAAAAACACUUCAUGCAAGUGGAUUGGUGCAUCUGAAAAUGGUGUGGCUUCUUGAAAUGAUGGGCAUUGCUCUGAUGGUCACACCAUUUUGAUAUGAGCACAGCCACGACUUGUUGAUUCAUGAAGUCCUUGAGUGCUUACCCCAAGAUGAUUGACUCUUAACAGCUUCUUGCUGCCGCAUUCAGUAGGGGAAGCUAGGAUCCCGUAAUUAUGGCUGGGUUAUGGCAGCUUCAGGCCCUUUGUCAAAUCAAAUCUUUCACACUCUCAGAAAAGGGUAGCUUGAUUGUGCAUGCUGACAAUCUUAUUACUUGUCGAAGGCUUCUCCAGUAGAUGAGGCCUCAGCCAAAGGUUACCUACCACCAAAGGUCUUGAAAAGAAUGGUGUGAAGGACGUCAUAUUGUGUAACUAUCCUUCGAAGGGCCUCGUUUAUGAGGGCAGAAAUGCACUAAAUAUCUUGCAGAUACAUUUGCUAUUGCAUCGUCAAGAUAAUAGCAUCUAUAUAUUUUGAGCUUUUUCCUCAGGCCUUCCUAGAGGGUCCUCCUGUUCACUCAGGUAUCAGUCUUUCCUGAAAUUAUGUAAUUUAAGUUCGCUAGGAAAUGCUAUGUGACUGCACGAGGCGUUACGUGGUGGUAGACCAUGACAAGGAUAUGUAGUACUUUUGUUUUAUGAAUGCUGGUUGGCACCUUUCAGUCCUAUGGUUGAUAUUUGUCACAUGAUCCUCUUAAAUCUGCCGGCUACACCUAGAGCUGAAGCACUGAGGAAAAAGAAUAUUGUUAGAAUAAGUUUAUUGGGUAUUGGGUUAAUGGGCUGUGACCCGUUAACCAUACUCCUCUUUGUAUGCAUAUAUAUAUGUAUUCUUAACUAUCUUAAUGACUCAAUUGAUUAGGGUUUUUGAUCCUUCAACAUGGUAUCAGAGCGAUACCCUCCAAACCCUAACCCUUGUUCUUAAAAAAAAAAAAAAGUACUAACCUUCUCUGCUCUCCUCCGCUCCGCAACCGGACUUCACCACCCUCCAAACCCUAACCCUCGACGACGGUGCCGGAGUCUCUUCGAGCUGCUCACCACCGCCCUGCGUUUAGUUCUCAUCGCCGCCAUCAAAAAAAAA